UUAACAUAAACUUUCAGAAUGCAAUGUACCAAAAAUCUGUGAUAGCAAUACAUAUGUACCUUAGAUUAGUGCCUGAGAAUUUCUGUGAUAAUAGGUUUACAUUUCUGUGUGUCAGACAGUGAGAAGUGCUUAUUAAUAUUGACAUUAUUAAAAUCAAAUCAGACGCAGUCCGACUUGACGAUAUUACAGAUGUGAAUGUGUGUCGUCCCCUGAAUAGACUAACUGACUCAACCUCUAGUUCUGACAAACAUGCCUAUUGAAUACAUUGAAAGAGCUACCAACUUGCAAUUUAUUUUCAUCAGCACGCUAAGCUAAGUCGUAUAGAUUACUUAGAUCAAUCUUUUCUGUUAAACACUUUUUGCAUAAUGACAUGCGUUUAUAGUUUGUAAAAUCCUGCCUGGUCCCAACGCUUUUUUAUGGAAUUGAAGAAAAGUAGCCUACAAUAGUAUCGCAAGAUUCAUUUUCAAUCUCCACCCAUUUGACCAUGUCGCUAAAUAUGCGUACAAAAUAUUUGAACUCCAUUUGGCAGACUGGAUGAAAAUGAGAAUUUAAUAUCCUAGUUAUUCUCACGCACGUCUUCUAUCGAUAUCGGAAGAGAAGCAAUGAAGCAGAAUAGGUUUUUACACUUGACAGACGUGCUGCAUAACGUUUGAACAGCUGUUCUUUGUUUUGAUUUGACAAGGAAAAUCUUCCCGCCUUUUUUACCGGCUAUUUUUGCAGUUGUUUUCGGUCGAUAGUGGUGAUAGUUCCCCACGAUAGUAUAUCGAUAUGCCAAAUAUCGAGUAAAUAUCUAGUAAAAAUCAAAAUUUUGCAUAUACAAAACCUAUAUAAUAAACAGCGUCUAGCCACAGACGCAAUGAAGCAACCCAAGUGUAACUAAGCCGUUAUAGCCCAGUCCCACAGAGCCCAUCCAAGCGAAACGAUUGUGAUUUAUGGUAGAUGGUGGACUGGUGUUCCUACAGAGCCACCAUCCAUUUUCCACCAUCCAUCAAAUGGUUAAAUGACCUUGAAUGCGUUUACUGACCCAUUUUGGGAGAGCGGGAGUGAAAAUGGCGAACGACAUUGGUGUAGGUCUGGGUUUUACUUCAGUAGCUGCAAAAAGUGGUUAAAAAACGGUCGGAGAAAAAAGGAGUACUUAAAAUUUGUUAUUUGUGCAUAGACCUAACCUAGUCGUGGAGACCACGUCGUCCUUAGACGAUAAGUAGGCUGCACCUGACCGUCAGCAGCGAUCCGCAGCAGCAUCAGAAGCGAUCCGCAGCAGCAUUCAGCAGCGAUCCGCAGCAACAUCAGCAGCAGCAGCUGCAGAGAUCAGCAGCGGCAUCAACGCCUCCAGCAAUUGUUUCCGUGACGACCACAUACGGUGAUUCCCUCGAUGAGUCCGUACCGGGAACGAAUACCCGCGCUGGGUACGUAGUCAUCCCUGGGACCACCGACGCAAUGCAUCCGGUCCCUUCUGGCCAAAGGUUGAGCUUCCUCCGGACUAUUAGGUACCGUACUCGUGCUGGUAAUCGCCGCAAGCAGUCUCUCCCUUUUUGCUGCAGCGUCGACCAUGACCAAACGUUCAACUCUGCAAUAAAUAAAUUGUAAAAUCAUUAGUUUAUGAAAAUCAUGCAGUCAACAUUGUGCUAAAUACUCACUGUAAAUUCUAAUCUGGAAUUAGAAGCUUAAUUCCGCGCCCUAGCCGCGCGUCUAA